AUUCGCGGCCUAUCAGCUUGUUGGUGGGGUAAUGGCCUACCAAGGCGACGACGGGUAGCCGGCCUGAGAGGGCGACCGGCCACACUGGAACUGAGACACGGUCCAGACUCCUACGGGAGGCAGCAGUGGGGAAUAUUGCACAAUGGGCGAAAGCCUGAUGCAGCGACGCCGCGUGAGGGACGACGGCCUUCGGGUUGUAAACCUCUUUCAGCAGGGACGAAGCGAAAGUGACUGUACCUGCAGAAGAAGCACCGGCUAACUACGUGCCAGCAGCCGCGGUAAUACGUAGGGUGCAAGCGUUGUCCGGAUUUAUUGGGCGUAAAGAGCUCGUAGGCGGUUUGUCGCGUCGGAUGUGAAAACCUAUGGCUUAACCAUGGGCCUGCAUUCGAUACGGGCAAACUAGAGUUCGGUAGGGGAGACUGGAACUCCUGGUGUAGCGGUGAAAUGCGCAGAUAUCAGGAAGAACACCGGUGGCGAAGGCGGGUCUCUGGGCCGAUACUGACGCUGAGGAGCGAAAGCGUGGGGAGCAAACAGGAUUAGAUACCCUGGUAGUCCACGCCGUAAACGUUGGGCGCUAGGUGUGGGGAACCUUCCACGUUCUCCGUGCCGUAGCUAACGCAUUAAGCGCCCCGC
rnacentral:rRNA from 1 species